rnacentral:rRNA from 1 species
CCUACGGGAGGCAGCAGUGAGGAAUAUUGGUCAAUGGACGAGAGUCUGAACCAGCCAAGUAGCGUGAAGGAUGACUGCCCUAUGGGUUGUAAACUUCUUUUAUAAAGGAAUAAAACGAGGCACGUGUGCCUUUUUGCAUGUACUUUAUGAAUAAGGAUCGGCUAACUCCGUGCCAGCAGCCGCGGUAAUACGGAGGAUCCGAGCGUUAUCCGGAUUUAUUGGGUUUAAAGGGAGCGUAGAUGGGUUGUUAAGUCAGUUGUGAAAUUUUGCGGCUCAACCGUAAAAUUGCAAUUGAUACUGGCAGUCUUGAGUACAGUUGAGGUAGGCGGAAUUCGUGGUGUAGCGGUGAAAUGCUUAGAUAUCACGAAGAACCCCGAUUGCGAAGGCAGCUUACUAAACUGUGACUGACAUUGAUGCUCGAAAGUGUGGGUAUCAAACAGGAUUAGAUACCCGGGUAGUC